ACCCGCUGAACUUAAGCAUAUCAAUAAGCGGAGGAAAAGAAACCAACAGGGAUUGCCCCAGUAACGGCGAGUGAAGCGGCAACAGCUCAAAUUUGAAAUCUGGCGCAAGCCCGAGUUGUAAUUUGUAGAGGAUGCUUCUGGGCAGCGGCCGGUCUAAGUCCCUUGGAACAGGGCGUCAUAGAGGGUGAGAAUCCCGUAUGCGACCGGCUGGCACCCGUCACGUAGCUCCUUCGACGAGUCGAGUUGUUUGGGAAUGCAGCUCUAAAUGGGUGGUAAAUUCCAUCUAAAGCUAAAUACCGGCCAGAGACCGAUAGCGCACAAGUAGAGUGAUCGAAAGAUGAAAAGCACUUUGGAAAGAGAGUUAAACAGCACGUGAAAUUGUUGAAAGGGAAGCGCAUGCGACCAGACUUGUCGGCGGUGUUCCGCCGGUCUUCUGACCGGUCUACUCGCCGCCGGCAGGCCAGCAUCGCGUGGGCGCGCCGGAUAAAGGCGCGGGGAAUGUGGCCCCUCGGGGUGUUAUAGCCCCGCGCACAAUACGGCGCCGCCCGCGCGAGGUCCGCGCUUCGGCUAGGAUGCUGGCGUAAUGGUCGUAUGCGGCCCGUCUUGAAACACGG
rnacentral:rRNA from 1 species